ACCUGGGUUGAAACCAUGAAAGAUGCUUCCUUGAGCGGAGCCUAAAACUAGCCAAGGCAUCCUGGGGUAGACCUGGGACGAGAAAGGCAUUUGUUCCCUUUGCUGGUGGCCAUGCCGGGGUGUGUGUUUGAAUCUUCGGGACAUGACAGAGAUGGGGAAAAGAUCAAGAUGCCUAUUUCUCUUGCGUAGUGCAGUCCAUCCCUGCUGGACUCUGAGGACCACCCCCCAGCCUGCCAUCUAAGUGACCCACAUAAGAACAAGGCACAGCAGUCAAGAAAAGGAGUCCUUUCCACUCCUGGGAAUGCCGGGCAUUAGUCCUGAAGUUAAGGUUCCCAGGCCAGCACCAGAGAACUUGUUAGAAAGACACAUUCUCAGGCCUACCCCUACCUGUGAGAUGGAAACCGUCAAGCUAAAGCUUUCCUAAAGCAGUGGGUACUAUAGUAAGAGACCCAGUUUGAUGGCAACUUUCAGCCCUACCUCCCUGGGCAGCAGACUGAACUGACACAUGGAAGCCCACUGAUGCCAAGUCACCCAGCAUGGAGUAUCAGCUUCUAACCGGAAGGAUGUGGUAGGGAGGCACACGGGCUGGAUGUGCGUGGAGUAAUUCACAGGGAA